AUGGACGAGGCGGGCACCUCGGCGUCCGCAGGCUCCGCCCCGCGCGGGGGGCGCCCGGCGAGAUCGGGAGUAUUCUAUAUAUUCACCCAGCAGGAUCUUCCAGCUUGGAAACCGGCAAUGACACCAGGAUACGUGAUAGCCAUUUUCUUGAUAAUUGGGAUUAUUUUCGUACCAGUUGGGCUAAUUUGUCUUCAAGCUUCAAACAGAGUUGCAGAAAUCGUUCACCGUUAUGAUAUUGAUUGUGUACCUAAUGCUUACAGAAGCAAUAAGCAGGCUUAUAUCAAAGACAGCUCGAUUUCGAAGAAAUGUAUUCAGAAAGUGAAGGUUCAAUACCAUAUGAAAGCUCCAAUUUAUGUGUAUUAUGAACUCGACAACUUCUACCAGAAUCAUCGUAGGUAUAUCAAAAGUAGAAGCGAUAAGCAACUACGCCAUGGGCUCCAAUACACUGAUAGCUCAUGCAGUCCGAUGGAAAGGAGCAACGGCCUUCCAGUUGUUCCCUGUGGAUUGAUUGCUUGGAGCUUGUUCAAUGAUACUUAUGAUUUUACCCGUGGGUCCAUGGGAUUGAUGGUUGAUAGGAAAAACAUUUCGUGGAGAAGUGAUCGGGAACAUAAGUAUGGCCAGGAUGUCUAUCCUUUCAACUUUCAGAAUGGAUCCUUGAUUGGAGGAGGAAAACUUGACCCUGAUAUACCACUAAGCAAUCAGGAAGAUCUUAUUGUGUGGAUGCGCGCAGCUGCUCUUCCCCAGUUUCGAAAGCUGUACGGUGUCAUUGAAGAGGAUAUACAAGCUGAUGAAACCAUUACCAUGCACAUAACAAACAAUUACAAUACCUACAGUUUUGGUGGAAAGAAAAGCCUGGUUCUUACAACAUCAACAUGGCUAGGUGGCAAGAAUGACUUUCUUGGAUAUGCAUACCUUAUCACUGGUUCCUCGAGCAUUUUCUUGUCCAUUCUCUUUGCUCUGAUCCAUGUGAAAAUCCCAAGGCCACAUGGUGAUGCUGCUUACCUAUCUUGGAGCAGGAAAAACGGCAAUAACUAA
rnacentral:rRNA from 1 species